UCGAGGGGCAGCAUAUAGAUUGCUUGCAAUUUAUGAUGGCGACCGGCGCACGGGUGAGUAACGCGUAUCCAACCUACCCAUUACUAGGGAAUAACCCAGCGAAAGUUGGCCUAAUGCCCUAUGUAGUCGUUUGAUCGCCUGAGAUUUCGACGAAAGAUUUAUCGGUAUUGGAUGGGGAUGCGUCUGAUUAGCUUGUUGGCGGGGUAAAGGCCCACCAAGGCAACGAUCAGUAGGGGUUCUGAGAGGAAGGUCCCCCACAUUGGAACUGAGACACGGUCCAAACUCCUACGGGAGGCAGCAGUGAGGAAUAUUGGUCAAUGGGCGAGAGCCUGAACCAGCCAAGUAGCGUGCAGGAUGACGGCCCUAUGGGUUGUAAACUGCUUUUAUAUGGGAAUAAAGUGAGGGACGUGUCCCUUAUUGCAUGUACCAUAUGAAUAAGGACCGGCUAAUUCCGUGCCAGCAGCCGCGGUAAUACGGAAGGUCCAGGCGUUAUCCGGAUUUAUUGGGUUUAAAGGGAGCGUAGGCUGUUUGUUAAGCGUGUUGUGAAAUGUAAGAGCUCAACUUUUAGAUUGCAGCGCGAACUGGCAGACUUGAGUGCGCACAACGUAGGCGGAAUUCAUGGUGUAGCGGUGAAAUGCUUAGAUAUCAUGACGAACUCCGAUUGCGAAGGCAGCUUACGGGAGCGCAACUGA
rnacentral:rRNA from 1 species